rnacentral:rRNA from 1 species
AUUGAACGCUGGCGGCAGGCCUAACACAUGCAAGUCGAGCGGAUGAAGGGAGCUUGCUCCUGGAUUCAGCGGCGGACGGGUGAGUAAUGCCUAGGAAUCUGCCUGGUAGUGGGGGAUAACGUCCGGAAACGGGCGCUAAUACCGCAUACGUCCUGAGGGAGAAAGUGGGGGAUCUUCGGACCUCACGCUAUCAGAUGAGCCUAGGUCGGAUUAGCUAGUUGGUGGGGUAAAGGCCUACCAAGGCGACGAUCCGUAACUGGUCUGAGAGGAUGACCAGUCACACUGGAACUGAGACACGGUCCAGACUCCUACGGGAGGCAGCAGUGGGGAAUAUUGGACAAUGGGCGAAAGCCUGAUCCAGCCAUGGCGCGUGUGUGAAGGAGGUCUUCGGAUUGUAAAGCACUUUAAGUUGGGAGGAAGGGCAGUAAGUUAAUACCUUGCUGUUUUGACGUUACCAACAGAAUAAGCACCGGCUAACUUCGUG